CCCGCGGUCAGACGGAAAGACCCUAUGAACCUUUACUGCAACUUCGCAGUGGCGCCAGGAAGGGACUGUGUAGGAUAGGUGGGAGGCUAUGAAGCCGGGGCGCUAGCCUUGGUGGAGCCAACCUUGAAAUACCACCCUGUGCCUUUCUGGCGUCUAACUGAGCCCCGUUAGCCGGGGCCAGGACCCUGCGUGGUGGGCAGUUUGACUGGGGCGG
rnacentral:rRNA from 1 species